AUAUUCAGCUUUGAUGAAUUGAGAGAGUGUUUGGGCUGGAUUGGUUUCUGCUGAGGUGAAGUGGAGGAUUGGUACUGGUCAGCACUGUGGAGACAGGGAAGGUGUGUGGGGUGAAAGAAGCUGAGGGC